GAGAAGUCAGGCCAGAUUAAGCCAUAGUACGGAAAGAG
rnacentral:lncRNA from 1 species